UCCCUGAUGGUCCAAUGGUUAAGACUCUGCGCUUCCACUGCAGGGGGCACAGGUUCAAUCCCUGCUCAGGGAG
rnacentral:tRNA from 1 species